rnacentral:rRNA from 1 species
CUAAUACAUGCAAGUCGAGCGGACAGAUGGGAGCUUGCUCCCUGAUGUUAGCGGCGGACGGGUGAGUAACACGUGGGUAACCUGCCUGUAAGACUGGGAUAACUCCGGGAAACCGGGGCUAAUACCGGAUGCUUGAUUGAACCGCAUGGUUCAAUUAUAAAAGGUGGCUUUUAGCUACCACUUACAGAUGGACCCGCGGCGCAUUAGCUAGUUGGUGAGGUAACGGCUCACCAAGGCAACGAUGCGUAGCCGACCUGAGAGGGUGAUCGGCCACACUGGGACUGAGACACGGCCCAGACUCCUACGGGAGGCAGCAGUAGGGAAUCUUCCGCAAUGGACGAAAGUCUGACGGAGCAACGCCGCGUGAGUGAUGAAGGUUUUCGGAUCGUAAAACUCUGUUGUUAGGGAAGAACAAGUACCGUUCGAAUAGGGCGGUACCUUGACGGUACCUAACCAGAAAGCCACGGCUAACUACGUGCCAGCAGCCGCGGUAAUACGUAGGUGGCAAGCGUUGUCCGGAAUUAUUGGGCGUAAAGCGCGCGCAGGCGGUUUCUUAAGUCUGAUGUGAAAGCCCCCGGCUCAACCGGGGAGGGUCAUUGGAAACUGGGGAACUUGAGUGCAGAAGAGGAGAGUGGAAUUCCACGUGUAGCGGUGAAAUGCGUAGAGAUGUGGAGGAACACCAGUGGCGAAGGCGACUCUCUGGUCGUAACUGACGCUGAGGCGCGAAAGCGUGGGGAGCGAACAGGAUUAGAUACCCUGGUAGUCCACGCCGUAAACGAUGAGUGCUAAGUGUUAGAGGGUUUCCGCCCUUUAGUGCUGCAGCAAACGCAUUAAGCACUCCGCCUGGGGAGUACGGUCGCAAGACUGAAACUCAAAGGAAUUGACGGGGGCCCGCACAAGCGGUGGAGCAUGUGGUUUAAUUCGAAGCCACGCGAAGAACCUUACCAGGUCUUGACAUCCUCUGACAACCCUAGAGAUAGGGCUUCCCCUUCGGGGGCAGAGUGACAGGUGGUGCAUGGUUGUCGUCAGCUCGUGUCGUGAGAUGUUGGGUUAAGUCCCGCAACGAGCGCAACCCUUGAUCUUAGUUGCCAGCAUUCAGUUGGGCACUCUAAGGUGACUGCCGGUGACAAACCGGAGGAAGGUGGGGAUGACGUCAAAUCAUCAUGCCCCUUAUGACCUGGGCUACACACGUGUACAAUGGGCAGAACAAAGGGCAGCGAACCGCGGG